CCUGGCUCAGAUUGAACGCUGGCGGCAGGCCUAACACAUGCAAGUCGAACGGUAGCACAGAGAGCUUGCUCUCGGGUGACGAGUGGCGGACGGGUGAGUAAUGUCUGGGAAACUGCCUGAUGGAGGGGGAUAACUACUGGAAACGGUAGCUAAUACCGCAUAAUGUCGCAAGACCAAAGAGGGGGACCUUCGGGCCUCUUGCCAUCAGAUGUGCCCAGAUGGGAUUAGCUAGUAGGCGGGGUAACGGCCCACCUAGGCGACGAUCCCUAGCUGGUCUGAGAGGAUGACCAGCCACACUGGAACUGAGACACGGUCCAGACUCCUACGGGAGGCAGCAGUGGGGAAUAUUGCACAAUGGGCGCAAGCCUGAUGCAGCCAUGCCGCGUGUGUGAAGAAGGCCUUCGGGUUGUAAAGCACUUUCAGCGGGGAGGAAGGCGGUACGGUUAAUAACCGUGCCGAUUGACGUUACCCGCAGAAGAAGCACCGGCUAA
rnacentral:rRNA from 1 species